rnacentral:rRNA from 1 species
UACGUAGGUGGCAAGCGUUGUCCGGAAUUAUUGGGCGUAAAGCGCGCGCAGGCGGUCCUUUAAGUCUGAUGUGAAAGCCCACGGCUCAACCGUGGAGGGUCAUUGGAAACUGGGGGACUUGAGUACAGAAGAGAAGAGUGGAAUUCCACGUGUAGCGGUGAAAUGCGUAGAGAUGUGGAGGAACACCAGUGGCGAAGGCGACUUUUUGGUCUGUAACUGACGCUGAGGCGCGAAAGCGUGGGGAGCAAACAGG